CGGCCUUAUUGUUGUAUGCAAUAAAGUCAUCUUUUGGCAAUGGAACCCUCUGUUGAAAAUUAUUUUUCAUAAUCACUAAAAAAAUCCACAACAUUUGGCGACGAGGAUGGGAUUGGAAAGGAGCAUGGAGGUGGAUGACCGUUGUGGGCUAAGUUUGGAUGAGCGGCAUACACAGGACCAGGGAAAAAGAAAAGGAGCCUGAUGAGGAGAUGGAGAUAAAAUGCCAUAUUAUGCCAUGGGAUCUAGUGUAUCUGAGGGUCUUCAGGAGAGAGUGACAUAAAACAAGGACCAAGGAGAGCAGCUCUAACAGCAGGCCAAGGGGGAAGGAGCACAUCUGAUGUCAUCUGAGCCAUUGCAAAAAGUUCCUAAAAUACCAGUCGAAGAAGAGGACAACAAAAACACGAUACAGAAGAGGAGAGCUGAGGAGCAGAGGAGAACUUAAACACAAUAAUGAAGAAGAGAGCUGAGGAAAAGAAAAUAAUAAAAGACAUGAUACAGAAGACAACAACAGAAAAAUUAAAAGCAAUUCAAGCCUACAAAGAGAUAAAAGAACGAAGUAAUGACCACCCAGGGCAUAUCAAGCAACAACAACAAAGUUAAGAAAAAUUUGUAAAUGAGAAGAGACUUUCAGGAGCAACAACCAAUGAGUGCAAAGCAGUGGAGUUCACAAGCAAUACACAGAGACAAAGUUGCUGGUAAUGUGUAAAGGACACACAAAGAAAACGUCAAGGAAUUAGCCAUGAAAAUUGAAAAAUAAAGCUAAUAACCAGUUUGACAAUUAUCAGCAACAUAUGGUAAAUUCACACAACUGUAGUCAAUAAUCAAACUUUUCUUCAAUUAACUUUUCACCUAUCAGCAAGGAUCAGUAACACUUUAGCGAGGACCAGUAACACCAGUGAGAAUUUAUUCUACAAUAAUCUCUGCAGAACCAAAGUUUAGAUAAAAUACUGAAGAUACCAAAACAAAAAGGAGACAAGGACAUCAACAGAAGAAAAAGGACGUCAACGGAAGGAAAAAAAAUAUGUUGGACAUUUUAUGGGAAACAAAAAAAAAAAACA